AUUGAACGCUGGCGGCAUGCCUAACACAUGCAAGUCGAGCGAGCUGCGGACGGGUGAGUAAUGUCUGGGAAACUGCCCGAUUGAGGGGGAUAACUACUGGAAACGGUAGCUAAUACCGCAUACCAUCAGAUGUGCCCAGAUGGGUUUAGCUGGUGGGUGGGUUAACGGCUCACCUAGGCGCCGAUCCCUAGCUGGUCUGGGAGGAUGACCAGCAAAACGGGAACUGGGACACGGUCCAGACUCCUACGGGGGGAAGAGGUGGGGAAUAUUGCACAAUGGGCGAAAGCCUGAUGCAGCCAGGCCGGGGAUGUGAAGAGGGUCUUCGGGUUGUAAGGCACGUUCAGCGGGGAGGCGUUACCCGAAGAAGAAGCACCGGCUAACUACGUGCCAGCAGCCGCGGUAAUUC
rnacentral:rRNA from 1 species